rnacentral:rRNA from 1 species
GCCAACUGUACUGCAAGGCGACCACUACCCGCGGGACCGUGAGGAAGCCUUGUCAGCCGAGUCGCAUGCAAAGUUCCACAAGC